rnacentral:rRNA from 1 species
AUUGAACGCUGGCGGCAUGCUUUACACAUGCAAGUCGAACGGCAGCACGGGUGCUUGCACCUGGUGGCGAGUGGCGAACGGGUGAGUAAUGCAUCGGAACGUGCCCAUGAGUGGGGGAUAGCCCGGCAAAAGCCGGAUUAAUACCGCAUACGCCCUUAGGGGGAAAGCGGGGGAUCUUCGGACCUCGCGCUAUUGGAGCGGCCGAUGUCGGAUUAGCUAGUAGGUGAGGUAAAGGCUCACCUAGGCGACGAUCCGUAGCUGGUCUGAGAGGAUGAUCAGCCACACUGGGACUGAGACACGGCCCAGACUCCUACGGGAGGCAGCAGUGGGGAAUUUUGGACAAUGGGCGCAAGCCUGAUCCAGCCAUGCCGCGUGAGUGAAGAAGGCCUCGGUUG